GCAGACACAUUCCAGCCAAUCAGCAGCAGACCCUCCCUCCCAGACCCUCCCACCUCCUGGACAGCAUCCAUUUCACAUUUAUUGUGAAGCUGCAUUCUUAGUGAGCUGUCCAGGAGGUGGGAGGGUCUUGUAGGGAGGGUUUGCUGCUGAUUGGCUGGAAUGUGUCUG
rnacentral:miRNA from 1 species